UAUAUAUAUAAUAUUUGUACAGUUAUCAUCAAAGAACAGUGGAGUCAGCGUGUCGUGGUCUGGUUCCCGGCGCUCGGGAGUCAAAACCAUGCGGAUUGGAUCAUGCAGAUAUGUUACAAGUCGCUAUUUACAUUACAUUCAUGCGCUCCUCAUCCCAUCGUGCACCAUUUCCACUUCCUCAGGUUUGCAGUCGAAUGAUUGCGACACAAAGACAGAGAGGGGGAGAGAGAGAGAGGGAGGGUAAAGGAAAAAGAAAGAGGUACAUAUUUUACAACAGUAUCCAUAACGGUGGCUCAUGAAAAUUUACAGCGAACUGAAGCAAAGAAAAAAUAGGGUAUUUCCCAACAGAGCGAGUAAGAAUGUGCCACCAGGAUGCAUCUGCUUUUUUACACUUAGGUGCUUUGAUGAAUGUCUAAGUGCCUUAUUUAUCAGAGAGCGAGUGAGAGCCGCAGUCAUAGCUCCUGUGAUCAGCAUGAUAAGCAGCGCCGUGCCAAUAAGAUGAGUCACAAACUGUCUGCAAAGAGUUGAUCUCAGAUGCCGAGGAGUUCCCAUCUCUCCGUUUGGACCUUUUCCUGUGGCGCAGGACGAAAACUAGCAUCCCGACAACAGUGAAAGCAGAAGUAACAAACACAAGCAGCAAUCCGGGCACCAGAACUGAAAUUGAGACUCGGCUCGGUUCGGGGUACGAUCCAGGACGCGUUCCUGAGUCGGAAUCCGUACCAAUGGUGCCAUUUUUGGACAGCAAAGUCGGCAAAGCCUGCUCAUAAAGUUCCGGGCAUAUCAGGUCUAUGCGAAUGUGACGGAAAUCUUGCUUCCAGAACUCCUCUGGUGACUCACAUUUUAGGUCGCUCACGAUGACGUCAGGUGCCAUUUUUUCCUGCACGUGCAAUCCCACGGGUUUCCAUGCAUGUCGAUUUGGAUGAUCGAGCUGAGCUGAUCGAGGACACCACUUAAGGGAAGAUGGGUGAAAUAGUUGUUAUGCAGGCUUAUUUUGGACAAGGAGACACCCAGAAAGGUGUCCGUGGGCAGCAACUUUAACAGAUUGUUGUUUAGGAACAGCACCCGCAAGUUAGGCAUUGGACUAAAGGCUCCUGCUAUGAUGAGCUGGAUGUCAUUAUAUUCCAAACUGAGAUAUUCCAGGUUUUGUAGUCCCACAAACAUAUCCGCCAUGACAGUAUCCAGAUAGUUCUUGUCCAUGUAAAGCCACCGCAACUCGCUCAAGUUUUGAAAAGUGCCAUUCUCGAUUGCUUUUAUGUUAUUCCCACCUAAAUCGAGCAGGUUCAGAUCUGUGUAACCCCGAAAAUGGUUCCUUUUCACGGCAUGGAUAUUGUUAUCACGUAGAUUUAGCUCAUGUGCACCGAGAGGUUUGGGUCUCAGAUUGAGCACGCUCUCCAAUUUUUACCUUCACAGUUAACCCCAAGUCCUUGACUAGUGCCGAUUGGCUUGCAUAGGCACGUUUGGGGACACGCAACAUCACUCAUGCCUGAUGCUAUUGCUGUUGGCAUUUUUAGCUGCCAGUUUUCUCUUGCUUUGGGACGGCCCUUGUUGUUCUGAGCGCUUUUCUCUGUCACUCCGGCCAUUUUGGAGGUUGUGGACGUGGGAGAAGGAGGAGCAUCCAGUUCUGAAGUCUCGUCCUGAGUUGGAGGUGCAGCCAAACUGGAAUCGACGCCAUCUUUGGAAGGGCAGAGCUCAGACUCGGCUGUCUCGUUCAGUUCGUUGCCCUGGAGACGUGCAGGUGCUUCACAAACAACCCGGCCGACAAGUGCCCG
ensembl:lncRNA